GAAGAAUUAGACUGGAAGAGAAAUUUCUCAAGGAGCUGAUGACAAACGAUAGAGUAAGGAAUGUAGAUGAGCUUGAAAAUGGUGGAAACAGGGGAAACAAUUUAUGCAUAUAUAGUGUUGCAACAAUCGAGGCUGCUACCAAUGGCUUUUCAUUGGACAACAAACUGGGGCAAGGUGGUUUUGGACCUGUUUACAAGGGGAGAUUAACUGAGGGACAGGAAAUAGCAGUAAAGAGACUGUCAAGUAGAUCAGGACAAGGGCUAGAAGAGUUCAAAAAUGA
rnacentral:misc_RNA from 1 species